rnacentral:lncRNA from 1 species
CGCGCGUGCACGUGUGCGUGUGCCUGCCGGGUUGCUGCGCCGCGGGCUGCGAGUGCUUGUGACCCGCCGCACCCUCACCCCCGGGCGCGCCAUCCCUGCUCCGCCGCCAGCGAGGGAGCCCCGGAGCCUAAGACGCCCGGACCCGCCGCCUCGCAGACCCACCCUUGCCCCUGCGCCUCGUCAUCCGCCCGCCCCAGCCAGCCCGCGCAGGGUCCGCGGCCCGCUUUUCCGCGAGAAGCCCCCUGUGGUCUUUCCUCGUACCCGGGGACUCGGACCGAGAAGCCGACUGAGCGAGGUCGCCGCCCGGCCUCACGGACACAGAGCGACUCUGCACCUUUCGCCUCCAGGAGCUGAAAACAUUUUGUCACUUGUGCAGUGUACUCACCAGUGCCCCCAACAUCUUCUCCCCCGAAAGCGCUUUCAGAUUCGCGCCGAGAUGGGGCGACGCGGCGGCUCUUGAGCGGAAUAACCCGAAGGGCCACGCAAACUGGGGCUUCCAGCCGCGAGCAUGCGGCGGGGCGCCCAGGGCCUGGGGUCGCGCGCUCAGGGCCUGUGCUGCGCCACGCAGGAGGAGGAGAGGGCUGGCCCUGCCGGGCGCGGGUGCGGGCCCGACUGGCUGAAGGAGGAGUGGGGACUGGCUUGGAAGUCUCCGAAGCAGAAAAGUGGGGCCGACAGGAUGGAAUUGGGGGAGGCCGAUUUUGGCUCAGAGAGAUUUCUCUAUUAAGGAAAGCAGUCCAAGAAUAGGCCCCCUGGAAGAGGAAUGCGCUCAAACCCAGAGGGAUUCUCCUUAGAGCUACCUCUUGAGAUUCUGUACUUCGAGGAAAUUAGAGGUUUUUUUAAAUCUCUAUUUUUAAUAAGGUGGGAGGAGGCUGUUGCUCCUUUCUCCUCAACAACAUGAAAUGAUCCUGUGCCUCUAUCCAACAACUCUACAACAAAGCACUGAAUACUUCCCUGACUGGCACUUUCAUGGCUGUUCAUGGGCAUCUCUUGGUCUAUGACGACGAUGUUGGAGAGUUCCUACUCCGUGAUAACUCAGUUCUAAGUGCAAGCAGUCACGUGAAAUGAGCCUGAUAGUCUGCGAAUGAAGAAACUAAAACGAACUAUAUUAUAUACUUCAUAACACAAGACAACGUGCUCGUUUGUUCAUUCUGCAAGUAAAUGCUUAAUGCUUCCUAGGUGGCAGGCUAAAGAAUAUGAUCAUUUUAAAGCAGUCAUGCUUUGAAAAUAAACAACCCAUCCCAGCUGUAAGCUUUUUGAAAGUGUACAAAAUAUGUAAUUGAUGACUCCCUAAAUGGUUUGCAGCUUUGGUAUUUGACUGAAUUGUAAACCAUUAGUUAAACUACAUUUCAGUUAUGCUUUGUAGGAAAAACACUUUCCUAUGCAUUGAAUGUUCUAUAACUAAGGAGCUUAGUAAUCUACUGCUAAAAAUCUCACUGAAAUCUCCAGUUUAAGCGAUUUAAGCAAUUUACAGCUCUUGGCAAAUAUUUGUUUUGGGUUAUAAAACACUUUUUUUCUGACUAGUAAAUUGUUCAUGUUCUUUGUUUCCAGUAAAAUGGGAAUAAAGGUUUCAGUACUCAAAUACUGCUUAUUUUUUAUUGGAAAAAAGGAAGCGUGGGAGGCUUUUAAGAGAGUAUCAUUAUGAGGGUUUCAUAGAAAUACUCAGUCUGUCUCAUUUCAGCAUCCAUUCCUAUAUGAGGUGACAUGGUACCAGACUUAGUUCUGUAUGUUAUUCAACAAAGUAUUUUCCACUGUCUGGUAACAUGGCAGCUUCUCUCUUCCUCACCACCCCCCCGGAUUACCUUGGAAGUGGGAAGGAAAAUAUUUACUUUCCAGCAGUUUUCAUUUUGUGAAAGAUCACAAAUGACUGAAAAUGCUCACCUAUUUGGCAGAACAAAUUUGAUAUUUGUGAGACUAAUCAGUUGAGAGUCAUAAAUAGGUGCAAAUGUUUAUGAGUUCCCCUCAAAUUUCAACAUAUUUGUGAAGAUGCAAAAUAAGCAUGUUAGUAAGUUCAAACCUAAGACAUACAAGUGAAAAAAAGGGAACAACAUACUCAAAAGCAGGCUCAUCGUGUUCCCUUAAAACCAACAUAUCUGUAAUGUGGCCACGCAAGCUUCAUUUGAAGCCUCUCCAGUCCCUCAUCCCCUGGUUUACUCAGCACACCCAAUACCAGCACAGCUGCAAGACUGCUUAGCAUGGGGCAAGCUGUUGGGGAAAAUCUUUUAAAUCAUCCUUAGGCACCGUAACUCCAAAAGCCGGUGUGUGGUUGGCUCCUUCCAUACUAAUAAUCUUGGGUUACUGAUGUUCGUAUCUACCCAAACCUCUUUCUCUUCCUUAAAGAGCUGUCCUUGAGGCCGGGCAUGGUGGCUCACGCCUGUAAUCCCAGCACUUUGGGAGGCUUAGGCGGGCGGAUAACGAGGUCAGGAGUUCGAGAUCAGCCCGCCCAACAUGGUGAAACCGGGUCUCUACUAAAAAAAAAUACAAAAAGCCGGGUGUGGUAGCGCAUGCCUGUAAUCCCAGCUACUCAG